CGAAAGCCUGACGGAGCAAUACCGCGUGAGGGAGGAAGGCUCUUGGGUUGUAAACCUCUUUUCUCAGGGAAGAAGUACUGACGGUACCUGAGGAAUCAGCAUCGGCUAACUCCGUGCCAGCAGCCGCGGUAAUACCCGAGGAUGCAAGCGUUAUCCGGAAUGAUUGGGCGUAAAGCGUCUGUAGGUGGCUUUACAAGUCUGCUGUUAAAGCUCAGGGCUUAACCCUGAAUCGGCGGUGGAAACUGAAAAGCUAGAGUGCGGUAGGGGUAGAGGGAAUUCCCGGUGUAGCGGUGAAAUGCGUAGAGAUCGGGAAGAACACCAGUGGCGAAAGCGCUCUGCUGGACCGCAACUGACACUGAUGGACGAAAGCUAGGGGAGCGAAUGGGAUUAGAUACCCCAGUAGUCCUAGCCGUAAACGAUGGAUACUAGGCGUUGAGAGUAUCGACCCUCUCAGUGCCGUAGCUAACGCGUUAAGUAUCCCGCCUGGGGAGUACGCUCGCAACAGUGCAAACUCAAAGGAAUUGACGGGGGCCCGCACAAGCGGUGGAGUAUGUGGUUUAAUUCGAUGCAACGCGAAGAACCUUACCAGGACUUGACAUGUCGCGAAUCCUUAGGAAACUAGGGAGUGCCUUCGGGAGCGCGAACACAGGUGGUGCAUGGCUGUCGUCAGCUCGUGUCGUGAGAUGUUGGGUUAAGUCCCGCAACGAGCGCAACCCUCGUGCCAAGCUGCCAGCAUUAAGUUGGGCACUCGAAGCAGACUGCCGGUGACAAACCGGAGGAAGGUGGGGAUGACGUCAAGUCAGCAUGCCCCUUACGUCCUGGGCUACACACGUACUACAAUGCUACGGACAAAGAGAAGCAAAACAGCGAUGUCAAGCAAAUCUCGUAAACCGUGGCUCAGUUCAGAUCGCAGGCUGCAACUCGCCUGCGUGAAGGCGGAAUCGCUAGUAAUCCCAGAUCAGCAUGGCUGGGGUGAAUACGUUCCCGGGCCUUGUACACACCGCCCGUCACACCAUGGAAGCUGGCUCUGCCCGAAGUCGUUACCCUAACCCUAGUGGAGGGGGACGCCGAAGGUGUGGCUGGUGACUGGGGUGAAGUCGUAACAAGGUAGCCGUACCGGAAGGUGUGGCUGGAUCACCUCCUUAACAGGGAGACCAUAACCCAUCGAAUACCGAGAUGAAAUAGAAGCGGUAGAGAUGAGGUCAUCCCAGGUCGGACGGCAAAGGAAAUAAUAGUGAGGCUUUCAAACUAUAAAGUGGUUCGGCAAAAGGCGCACCAAAAGUGGGGGCUAUUAGCUCAGGUGGUUAGAGCGCACCCCUGGUAAGGGUGAGGUCCCUGGUUCGAGUCCAGGAUGGCCCACCUGAAAUAGCAAUUAGCAAAGAGCAAUUAGUUAAAGAGAAUUAGCUAAGAGCUAAAAGCUAAAGGUAGAAAUUACCAAAAUAGGUGAUAGACUAGAAAAGGUGGAAUUCAGCACCGCGAUGAGGCAAUUAGCUCAUGUGAAUGCUGGAGAAGACCAGCACAGAACCUUGAAAACUGCAUAGCAACUUGUCAAAUGUAAUCAGAUCGGCUCAGCCAGCAGUUGACUAACUGCUAGUUGAACAGAUCAAUUGCAGGUAGACACCAAUGUUGAAAAAAGUGGUCAAGCGAAUAAGAGCUUAUGGUGGAUACCUAGGCACACAGAGGCGAAGAAGGACGUGGCAACCGACGAAAUCCUCCGGGGAGCUGGCAGCAAGCAUCGAGCCGGAGAUGUCCGAAUGGGGCAACCCUAAAUAACAGCCUGUCGAAUACAUAAGAACAGGCAUGAGCCUACCUGGCGAACUGAAACAUCUUAGUAGCCCAGAGGAAAAGAAAAGAAAAAAUCGAUUCCCCAAGUAGUGGUGAGCGAAACGGGGAAGAGCCUAAACCAGUUGAUCAAUCAACUGGGGUUGUGGGACAGCGAUCUGGAAUCUCUAGGUUAGACGAAGCAGCUAAAUCCUGCACCAAAGAAGGUGAAAGUCCUGUAGUCGAAAGCUAAAAGAUACUAGCUGGAUCCCGAGUAGCACGGGGCACGAGGAAUCCCGUGUGAAUCAGCGAGGACCAUCUCGUAAGGCUAAAUACUACUGUGUGACCGAUAGUGAACCAGUACCGCGAGGGAAAGGUGAAAAGAACCCCGCAAGGGGAGUGAAAUAGAACAUGAAACCGUAAGCUUACAAGCAGUGGGAGGACGAUUCAACGUCUGACCGCGUGCCUGUUGAAGAAUGAGCCGGCGAGUUAUAAGCACUGGUAGGUUAAAGCACGGAUGUGCUGAAGCCAAAGCGAAAGCGAGUCCGAAUAGGGCGCUCUAAUCAGUGUUUAUAGACCCGAACCCGGGUGAUCUAACCAUGUCCAGGAUGAAGCUUGGGUAACACCAAGUGGAGGUCCGCACCGACCGAUGUUGAAAAAUCGGCGGAUGAGGUGUGGUUAGGGGUGAAAUGCCAAUCGAACCCGGAGCUAGCUGGUUCUCCCCGAAAUGUGUUGAGGCGCAGCCGUUGUGAAUAUAGUCUGGGGGUAAAGCACUGUUUCGGUGCGGGCUGCGGUAAGCGGUACCAAAUCGAGACAAACUCUGAAUACCAGGCGCACACACAACUAGUGAGACGGUGGGGGAUAAGCUUCAUCGUCAAGAGGGAAACAGCCCAGACCACCAGCUAAGGUCCCAAAAUUGGUACUAAGUGGCAAAGGAGGUGGGAGUGCAAAGACAACCAGGAGGUUUGCCUAGAAGCAGCCAUCCUUGAAAGAGUGCGUAAUAGCUCACUGGUCAAGCGCUCCUGCGCCGAAAAUGAAUGGGACUAAGUGCCAUACCGAAGCUGUGGGAUAAGAAAUUAUCGGUAGGGGAGCGUUCUGUAGUAGGAAGAAGCACUAGCGGCAAGCAGGUGUGGACGAAGACCUAGAAGUGAGAAUGUCGGCUUGAGUAGCGAAAACAUUGGUGAGAAUCCAAUGCCCCGAAACCCCAAGGGUUCCUCCGGCAGGCUCGUCCACGGAGGGUUAGUCAGGACCUAAGGCGAGGCCAAACGGCGUAGUCGAUGGACAACGGGUCAACAAUCCCGUACUGAUUUUGGUUUGUGCAGAGGGACGGAGAAGGUAUGUGCCAGCCGGAUGUUGGUUACCGGUGCAACUAGUCGAGGCAGUGAGAAGCGGUGAAAACGCUUUGAGCAGAGACUAGGAGUCCGAGCGGAUAAGUCCGCGAAGUGGUGGCAAUCAGGCUUCCAAGAAAAGCUCUAAACACGUUAAGCCAAAAUUACCUGUACCCGAAACCGACACAGGUGGGGAGGCUGAGAAUACCAAGGGGCGCGAGAUAACUCUCUCUAAGGAACUCGGCAAAAUGGCCCCGUAACUUCGGAAGAAGGGGUGCCCACAGCAAUGUGGGUCGCAGUGAAGAGAUCCAGGCGACUGUUUACCAAAAACACAGGUCUCCGCAAAGUCAAAUGACGACGUAUGGGGGCUGACGCCUGCCCAGUGCCGGAAGGUUAAAGAAGUCGGUCAGGGCCUUGGCCUAAAGCUGGCGACUGAAGCCCUCCGUUGAAUCGGCGGCCGUAACUAUAACGGUCCUAAGGUAGCGAAAUUCCUUGUCGGGUAAGUUCCGACCCGCACGAAAGGCGUAACGAUCUGGAUGGUGUCUCAGAGAGAGACUCGGCGAAAUAGGAAUGUCUGUGAAGAUACGGACUACCUGCACCAGGACAGAAAGACCCUAUGAAGCUUUACUGUAGCCUGGAAUUGGGUUCGGGCUUUGCUUGCGCAGGAUAGGUGGGAGGCGAUGAAGCUACCCUUGUGGGGGUAGUGGAGCCAACGGUGAGAUACCACUCUGGCGAAGCUAGAAUUCUAACCGCUUGCCGUUAGCCGGCAGUGGCACAGUUUCAGGUGGGCAGUUUGACUGGGGCGGUCGCCUCCUAAAGUGUAACGGAGGCGCGCAAAGGUUCCCUCAGGCUGGUUGGAAAUCAGCCGCAGAGUGUAAAAGCAUAAGGGAGCUUGACUGCAAGAGUUACAACUCGAGCA
rnacentral:sRNA from 1 species